GACGAACGCUGGCGGCGUGCUUAACACAUGCAAGUCGAACGGAAAGGCCCUGCUUUUGUGGGGUGCUCGAGUUGCGAACGGGUGAGUAACACGUGAGUAACCUGCCCUUGACUUUGGGAUAACUUCAGGAAACUUGGGCUAAUACCGGAUAGGAGCUCCUGCUGCAUGGUGGGGGUUGGAAAGUUUCGGCGGUUGGGGAUGGACUCGCGGCUUAUCAGCUUGUUGGUGGGGUAGUGGCUUACCAAGGCUUUGACGGGUAGCCGGCCUGAGAGGGUGACCGGCCACAUUGGGACUGAGAUACGGCCCAGACUCCUACGGGAGGCAGCAGUGGGGAAUAGUGCACAAUGGGCGGAAGCCUGAUGCAGCAAAGCCGCGUGGGGGAUGACGGCCUUCGGGUUGUAAACCGCUUUCGCCUGUGACGAAGCGUGAGUGACGGUAAUGGGUAAAGAAGCACCGGCUAACUACGUG
rnacentral:rRNA from 1 species